GACGAACGCUGGCGGCGUGCCUAAUACAUGCAAGUAGGACGCAGUUGCGAACGGGUGAGUAACGCGUAGGUAACUACCUAUUAGAGGGGGAUAACUAUUGGAACCGAUAGCUAAUACCGCAUACUAGUAGAUGGACCUGCGUUGUAUUAGCUAGUAGGUAGGGUAAUGGCCUACCUAGGCAACGAUACAUAGCCGACCUGGUAGGGUGAUCGGCAAACCUGGGACUGAGCAACGGCCCAGACGCAUACGGGUGGCAGCAGUAGGGGAUCUUCGGCAAUGGGGGGAACCCUGACCAAGCAACGCCGCGUGAGUGAAGAAGGUUUUCGGAUCGUAAAGCUCUGUUGUUAAGGAAGCGGUACUUAACCAGAAAGGGACGGCUAACUACGUGCCAGCAGCCGCGGUAAUUC
rnacentral:rRNA from 1 species